GUGGUGAUCUUGCGCAUGGUCGNAGGCUGACGCAGCGACGCCGCGUGGAGGACGAAGGCCUUCGGGUUGUAAACUCCUUUUCUGUGGGACGAAUANGGUAGUGCAGGCAAUGGUCUACCGAUGACGGUACCCCAGGAACAAGCGCCGGNUAACUUCUUGCCAGCAGCCGCCGGUAAGACGAAGGGCGCAAGCGUUAUCCGGAAUUACUGGNCGUAAAGGGCGUCUAGGCGGUCAAUCAAGUCGACGUUGAAAGCCCUUGGCUAAACUGAGGGAUGUACGUCGAAACUGGUUGGCUCGAGGAACGUAGAGGAAGGCGGAACUCUCGGAGUAGCGGUGAAAUGCGUAGAGACCGAGAGGUACCCCGAUGGUGAAGACAGCCUUNUGGGCGUUUCCUGACGCUGAAGCGCUAAGGCCAGGGGAGCGAAGGGGAUUAGAUACCCCCGUAGUCCUGGCUUCAAACGAUGUGGGCUUGNUGUCGGCUCCCCGACAGAGAGUCNUUGCCGGAGUUAACGCGUUNAGCCCACCGCCUGGGGACUACGUNCGCAAGGAUGAAACUCAAGGGAAUUGACGGGGGCNCACACAANCCGGNGGAGCACGUGGUUUAAUUUCNCUGAUUAAGCGAAGAACCUUUACCANGGGCUUUGACCCUNUNNGGUAGUAGGACCCUUGAAAAGGGGAACGAACCUUNAGGCU
rnacentral:rRNA from 1 species